rnacentral:misc_RNA from 1 species
GAUGAAGAACGUAGCGAAAUGCGAUACGUAAUGUGAAUUGCAAAUUCAGUGAAUCAUCGAGUCUUUGAACGCACAUUGCGCCCCCUGGUAUUCCGGGGGGCAUGCCUGUCCGAGCGUCGUUGCUGCCCUCAAGCACGGCUUGUGUGUUGGGCCCCGUCCUCCGAUCCCGGGGGAGGGCCCGAAAGGCAGCGGCGGCACCGCGUCCGGUCCUCGAGCGUAUGGGGCUUUGUCACCCGCUCUGUAGGCCCGGCCGGCGCUUGCCGAUCAACCCAAAUUUUUAUCCAGGUUGACCUCGGAUCAGGUAGGGAUACCCGCUGAACUUAAGCAUAUCAAUAAGCGGAGGA